AUGAACGCUGGCGGCGUGCCUAAUACAUGCAAGUCGAACGAGUUCUCGUUGAUGAUCGGUGCUUGCACCGAGAUUCAACAUGGAACGAGUGGCGGACGGGUGAGUAACACGUGGGUAACCUGCCCUUAAGUGGGGGAUAACAUUUGGAAACAGAUGCUAAUACCGCAUAGAUCCAAGAACCGCAUGGUUCUUGGCUGAAAGAUGGCGUAAGCUAUCGCUUUUGGAUGGACCCGCGGCGUAUUAGCUAGUUGGUGAGGUAAUGGCUCACCAAGGCGAUGAUACGUAGCCGAACUGAGAGGUUGAUCGGCCACAUUGGGACUGAGACACGGCCCAAACUCCUACGGGAGGCAGCAGUAGGGAAUCUUCCACAAUGGACGCAAGUCUGAUGGAGCAACGCCGCGUGAGUGAAGAAGGCUUUCGGGUCGUAAAACUCUGUUGUUGGAGAAGAAUGGUCGGCAGAGUAACUGUUGUCGGCGUGACGGUAUCCAACCAGAAAGCCACGGCUAACUACGUGCCAGCAGCCGCGGUAAUACGUAGGUGGCAAGCGUUAUCCGGAUUUAUUGGGCGUAAAGCGAGCGCAGGCGGUUUUUUAAGUCUGAUGUGAAAGCCCUCGGCUUAACCGAGGAAGCGCAUCGGAAACUGGGAAACUUGAGUGCAGAAGAGGACAGUGGAACUCCAUGUGUAGCGGUGAAAUGCGUAGAUAUAUGGAAGAACACCAGUGGCGAAGGCGGCUGUCUGGUCUGUAACUGACGCUGAGGCUCGAAAGCAUGGGUAGCGAACAGGAUUAGAUACCCUGGUAGUCCAUGCCGUAAACGAUGAAUGCUAGGUGUUGGAGGGUUUCCGCCCUUCAGUGCCGCAGCUAACGCAUUAAGCAUCCGC
rnacentral:rRNA from 1 species